AAAACACUCAACCAAUUACAGCUUAAGCAUCUCGAUUCAAAUAUUUCAUCUUUCAGACUGCAAAUUGAAACCCAAUCCAUCGGAAGGGAUACAUUCAUCAAUGGCUUAAUACAAAACCUUAUAACUAAAAGAAAAGCAAAACCAGUAACCAGAGUAAAUAAACAAGUAAAAACCAUGAUCAAGCUAGAAUUAAACACACCCAGAUCAAUAAAUGUCGAAACUGAUGAAAACCCAAUGCAGAAAAUUGACUAAGGAAAAGGAAACUAUAACUAAAACCCUGUAACAAAAUAAAGGUAAGACAAAAACCCAUGUUGAAAUUA
rnacentral:misc_RNA from 1 species